GCCGGGGUAGCUCAGUUGGUUAGAGCGGCGGUCUCAUAAUCCGCAGGUCUGGGGUUCGAGUCCCCACCCCGGUA
rnacentral:tRNA from 1 species